GCAAGUAGAACGCUGAAGAGAGGAGCUGCUCUUCUUGGAUGAGUUGCGAACGGGUGAGUAACGCGUAGGUAACCUGCCUGGUAGCGGGGGAUAACUAUUGGAAACGAUAGCUAAUACCGCAUAAAAUGGAUUAUCGCAUGAUAAUGCAUUGAAAGGUGCAAAUGCAUCACUACCAGAUGGACCUGCGUUGUAUUAGCUAGUUGGUGGGGUAACGGCUCACCAAGGCGACGAUACAUAGCCGACCUGAGAGGGUGAUCGGCCACACUGGGACUGAGACACGGCCCAGACUCCUACGGGAGGCAGCAGUAGGGAAUCUUCGGCAAUGGACGGAAGUCUGACCGAGCAACGCCGCGUGAGUGAAGAAGGUUUUCGGAUCGUAAAGCUCUGUUGUAAGAGAAGAACGAGUGUGAGAGUGGAAAGUUCACACUGUGACGGUAUCUUACCAGAAAGGGACGGCUAACUACGUGCCAGCAGCCGCGGUAAUACGUAGGUCCCGAGCGUUGUCCGGAUUUAUUGGGCGUAAAGCGAGCGCAGGCGGUUAGAUAAGUCUGAAGUUAAAGGCUGUGGCUUAACCAUAGUACGCUUUGGAAACUGUUUAACUUGAGUGCAAGAGGGGAGAGUGGAAUUCCAUGUGUAGCGGUGAAAUGCGUAGAUAUAUGGAGGACACCGGUGGCGAAACGGCUCUCUGGCUU
rnacentral:rRNA from 1 species